UGGGGAAUAUUGCACAAUGGAGGAAACUCUGAUGCAGCGACGCCGCGUGAGUGAAGAAGUAUUUCGGUAUGUAAAGCUCUAUCAGCAGGGAAGAAGACGACGGUACCUGACUAAGAAGCCCCGGCUAACUCCGUGCCAGCAGCCGCGGUAAUACGGAGGAUGCGAGCGUUAUCCGGAUUUAUUGGGUUUAAAGGGUGCGCAGGCGGCGCGAAAAGUCAGCGGUCAAAGUUCCGGGCUCAACCCGGUGACGCCGUUGAAACUUUCGGGCUGGAGUUCGUGCGAGGGAGGCGGAAUGCGUUGUGUAGCGGUGAAAUGCAUAGAUAUGACGCAGAACCCCGAUUGCGAAGGCAGCUUUCCAGCACGCGACUGACGCUGAGGCACGAAAGCGUGGGGAGCGAACAGGAUUAGAUACCCUGGUAGU
rnacentral:rRNA from 1 species